rnacentral:lncRNA from 1 species
UGACCACAGCUUUUAAGUGGCUGAUUGAACAGAACUCGGAUUCUGAUACUUUUAUUGCAAUAUUGGGAACUAUGUCUGGAAGGGUCUUGACAGAUCAGAUAGAACAUCUGUUCUUCCAGAACGUAAUCCACUGCAGAUAACUCGCUCCUCACCAGACAACUUGCCAGAAACUCCUGCUCUCUCUUUCCUGAUGUGUCCAGCAACAGAGAUUUCUCAGUCUUGUUAGUAGUGAAACACAGAGAUCCUUGGGGAGGUCACACUAAGUGUGAAAGAGAUGUGGAACACAAAAGCUUCUGGGGGCUGCAGCAAGAGGUAAGUAGUUUGUUUUGCUCCUUCCUUCUGUUCUACUUUCCCUGAUUUUCUUCUCUUCCUAAUUUAGUUACUAUUUUCUUCUUUGCUCUCUAUCUCCAUCAUUUGUCACUUGGCCUCCUUUGAGUGCCCCAGUUAAAAUCUUAACUUGACUUUUGGAUUGAAAAAAACAUAUUCUUUCUGAGACCAUGUAAUUUGGCUUAAUUGUUUUUGAUGUAUGACAAAAUUGAAUUGAAAUGUUGACCCUAUGUAGUAAUAGUUUUAAGUUGUCUUCCCACUGGCUUCUGAGUACAUAAAUCAUAGAAGUUUUUUGUUUUCUCCUCUUCUUCCUUCAAAAAUUACUAACAUUUAAAUCAAAGCAAUAGUUUCUGUGCCUUUAUCUUUGAUCAGCUCUUUUGUUCAUGCUUUUUACUUCCUUUUUCUUCCAUUUUGUAAUUGGCACUUCUCAUGACAGGGGUUUUUUGAUUUCUAGUUGCAAUUCCCACUUCCUAUAAGACAUUUUGAUUCUAAUAUGGAGUCAUCUUUCUUAAAGAGGCAUCAUUUAAAUCUUCUGUAAGCUCUUGCAAUUACAACAGAGAGGAAAAUAUUUUGAGUAUAUUCCAGUAUUCAGCAUGUACAUAACUUUGGGCUCCAUCUAAGAGAUGUUUGGAGCAGUGUAGAUACUCCGAAAUACAGUGUAAUACAACCAUUAAAUCGCUUCUUUCUCCUUUUUAACUUUCGGUUGGUUUGGUUGGUUUGUUGGUUUGUUUGCUUUUAAAAGAAAUAAAGAAAAUUCUGCAAUUCAUUUGUAGUAUAUAUGUGGUACAGUUUCUUUUCCAGUAUAGUAAUUUCCACCGUUCAUUAAUGCUGUCAGAAUGUGCAUUCAGUUUGCUUUCUGGUAGGCAAGGUGAGGGAAGAGCAGGUGAGACUAAAACAUCAUGCUAGAGGUAGCACUUUGGCUGCUACAGAAGGCAGCAAGAUCUGUUUAAAUCAGAACUGAAUUACAACCCAGUUUUUAUUCAAUGGUUUUAUAUAAACCUAAAGUACAGACAUAGCAUUGCACAACUUUCAUAAAUCAAGUAGUUGAAAGCAUUCCUUCUUUCAGUUUCAAAAACAUACACCCAAACCCCAGAAAUUAAACUGGUUGCAGAUAUAUUCCAGUUAAUCUUCUGAUUUUAGUUCCACUUCCUGUACAGCUUCCCAAAUUUUCU